rnacentral:misc_RNA from 1 species
GAUGAAGAACGUAGCGAAAUGCGAUAAGUAAUGUGAAUUGCAGAAUUCAGUGAAUCAUCGAAUCUUUGAACGCACAUUGCGCCCGCCAGUAUUCUGGCGGGCAUGCCUGUUCGAGCGUCAUUUCAACCAUCAAGCCCCCGGGCUUGUGUUGGAGCCCUGCGGCUGCCGCAGCCUCCCAAAACCAGUGGCGGGCUCGCUAUCACACCGAGUGCAGUAGUUUACUCUUCGCUCAGGGCGUGUGGCGGGUGCUAGCCGUGAAACCCCCAACUUCUCAAGGUUGACCUCGGAUCAGGUAGGAAUACCCGCUGAACUUAAGCAUAUCAAUAAGCGGAGGA